GCGCCGCGGCCCUUUUAAGGGCGGAACCGUUGGUGCGGGGACCGAGCGGCGCGGGAACGGAGCUGUGGCGCGCGGGGGACGUCAUGGCUGCCGGCUGCCUGGAAGAUCCGUCCUUGGAGAGGCACUUCAAAGGCCACAGAGAUGCCAUCACUAGUGUGGACUUCAGUCUCAAUAAGAAACAAUUGGCAAGUGGCUCGAUGGAUUCGUGCCUCAUGAUCUGGAGUAUGAGACCUCAGAUGAGAGCCUAUCGCUUUGUGGGCCACAAAGAUGCAGUGAUGUGCGUUCAGUUUUCACCUUCUGGUCACCUGGUGGCUUCAGGCUCUAGAGACAAAACGGUCCGUUUAUGGGUUCCCAGUGUCAAAGGGGAAUCUACUGUCUUCAAGGCUCAUACGGCAACUGUAAGAAGUGUUCAUUUUUCCAACGACGGACAGUCCUUAGUUACAGCUUCUGAUGACAAAACAGUCAAAGUGUGGACGGUUCACAGGCAGAAGUUUCUAUUCUCACUUAGUCAACACAUAAACUGGGUUCGCUGUGCCAGAUUCUCUCCUGAUGGACGAUUGAUAGUGUCAGCCAGUGAUGAUAAAACUGUCAAACUGUGGGAUAAAACCAGCAGAGAAUGCAUACACUCCUUCUGUGAGCAUGGGGGGUUUGUGAAUCAUGUGGAUUUUCAUCCCAGUGGUACAUGCAUUGCUGCGGCUGGCACAGAUAACACAGUGAAGGUGUGGGACGUUAGGAUGAAUAGACUUCUUCAACAUUAUCAAGUGCACAGUGCCGUGGUAAACAGUCUUUCCUUUCACCCUUCUGGAAACUAUCUGGUUACUGCUUCCAAUGAUUCAACUCUUAAAAUUCUGGACUUGCUAGAAGGAAGACUUCUGUAUACUCUUCAUGGUCACCAGGGGCCAGCUACCUGUGUAGCGUUUUCAAGAGCUGGAGACUUAUUUGCCUCUGGAGGUUCUGAUGAACAGGUGAUGGUGUGGAAGACUAACUUUGACGCAGCAGAUUAUGGUGAUGUACUGAAAACACAGAAGUCUGGCGCUAGUGUGGAAGGGACCCAUCGUACUCUGCAAUCAGAAAUGGAUUGUGGUGUUCAUCUUAAGAAAACAAAAACUCAGGAUUCUAGUAGGAACCAGGAGCAGCAAGAGGAGGAGAUGAGUCUCGCAAAUACCUUGGAGCAUAUUAUGGGACAGCUGGAUGUUCUGACUCAGACGGUUUCCAUCCUGGAGCAGAGGCUGACACUCACUGAAGACAAACUGAAGGAAUGUCUUGAGAAUCAGCAGAAAAUCAUUCAGAACAAAACGAGCUGAUUUCCUGAGAGAAGAUGGGAGCUGAAGGCGUUGGGAGAGAUAUAGCAGCCAGCGUGUGGUCUGAGUGCUAACUAGGAAGAUUGCAUCUCUCCUGCCUUCGGUGCUGCUGAGUUAUUUUUAAAAUGUUUAAGAAUCUUGAAGUUGCCAAAUGUCUGGUGCGGGCUGUAUUAAGCUUGUUGCUGAGGUCUGGGGCACGCAAGGAGAGCUCAUUCCCAAGCUGGUAUCCCCCAGCCAUCUGAAUAAACUGCGGACAGCCCACCGCCAGCAGUCGGAACAGAUCCUGUCCUGCGUGAGCGCAUCCUCCGUGCUGGCAGAGCAUCCGCAAAGAGAGCCAUGAUUAUCUCGGACUUGGUCAUGGAAGUUGCUCAGGGGAAGCUUAUUCUCAAAUGGCGCUUGAUCUUUGGUUGGAAGUCAAACGAGCAAAUCCUGGUUAUGCGGCUUUGCGCGUGGCUUUGCUGCUGUUCCCAGCCUGGAGGAAUAUUCCUGCCUCCGUUAGAGAGUUAUAAGCCUAAGGGUUGUGUUUCGGCCCGUUAUUAACUCUGACAGCAUGAAAGUGAAGACAAAAAGGUUACAGACACGAUCAAACCCACUUAAUUACAAAUCAAUUCUUGGCUAUUUCCACCACCAACGUUGUUCCAGUGCUAGUAUGUGGUCUUCAAGUAUCCAUAAGUUUUGGCAACUUCUCUAGAGCAUGAGGAGCCAGGAACUCUGGAAUCCAGCUUUUUUUCCCCAAAUCUUUUCAAGAAGUCUCCUCCUCCUGCUAAAUUCUACGAGUAAGGAGGUAUAAAGUGAAGAUGCUAAAAAAGACUAUGAAUCUCCCUUGUGUUGUAGUUGAGAAACAGAAGUUUCUUCUCUUUAACAAAUGACUUCCAAUGGUUUCAACACUUAAUUCUUUUUUCUCUUUUCAUUUUGUCACGGGGGAAAAAAAAUGAAAGGAAAAAAUGGAAGAGAAGUAAUGAAAAGGCCAAAUGUUUCAUUUUCUGGUUAAUCUCUUAAGAACUUUAAAGAAGUGGAUCAUGCUAAUUUCUGGAAAAAAGAAGAGAAAUUCCACUUUGUGCAUGUGAUUUUUUUUUUUUAAUUUUUUUUCCCCCCCAGUUGAAAUAAUUCAUCCUGCCUUAAAUUAAAAAGUUAGAUUUGGAAACUGGGGCAGAAGGUGAGUGUUUGUGGGUGUGUUGGCAGGGGCAUCCUGCGUGGAUAAAAGCUUCUGGAAGGGCAGCGUGCAGCCCCAGCGCUGGGACUCUCUCCGGGUAAAACCACGGCGGGUGCUGCUGGGGUGGAUGAGGAGGUGAAGACGCCAGCCCAGAAAAUCUUUAAAUACUUCUAACACAGGAGCUCAGCCCCCACUCCUGUUAAUUUUGGGAGCUACUCCCAGCUGCUCUGUCUGGGUCUGGGGGAUGCCCCGCUCCUGGGGCCAGCAGCCUGGGUGCCCAGCAUCCCCCGGGACAGCACCUUGCCCUCUCUGCCUGGGUGUUUUGCUGGGCAUCAAAGGGACUGGAGGAAAAACCCAGCUGCGAUGAGUGUGCGCCCUCCUUUCCUGUCGGAGCCCCUCUGAAAGACAUUCAUCGCUGAUGCCACGUUUCUGUCAUUUAAAGGAAGGUUUCUGCAUCCCUGCUCUGGACCACAUGGAUCUCCGCUGUGAGACCUUGACCUGAGGGUAGACGGAGGUUUAGCUGAGCCCCUGAACUCCUGGUUAUCUGUGGCGUGAUGGUGCUCCCAAGCCAGGCUCAAUGAGAGGGACUGAGGUGGGUGAGUCAUUUCCUUCCUGCCUUUUCCGAGCCUUUUCCCACCAGCGUCACCCAGCUCACCAAACAUCGGCACUCUGGGGACGCUUCUCCACGGCGCUUUACUCAGAGCAAAGGUGUUGGGCGCACCCGGCCGUACCCUCUGACGUGCCGGCUAUCUCUGAGAGCAGCGAGACAUCCUUUGCUGGCGCCUUCGGAAGCAAAUCCUGCAGCAGGGGACCGCUGUUGUGCCUGCUUUCCCCAGCUGAUGAUGUCGGGGAGGAGAAGGCACGUGGGGAGAGAAUGACUUCACGGAUCCGCUCCGGGAAUCGGUCACCCCCUCCUCGCAGUGAGGGCUGCUGGAAGGGAGCCCGAGCGAAGCGCUGCCAACAAUGUCUUCAUCCUCGUACCCCGUUACGGGCAGUGUUUGCAAACGCUGAGGCGAUGCUGUUCAGUGAGGAGCCAGCCAGCUCGGCUGAUAAACGUGGCUUUUGGUGGCUCUGCUCAAAGCCCUGAGAGCCUCACGGUGUGUUUUGGCUCACAGCGGUGGGUUUGGAUGGCUCCGUGGGAGUGGAAGAGGUGAAAGGAGAAAGCUGGCUAUUUGGCUGUUUUUUCUUAAAGUAAAUGAGCUCCGCCUGAACGAUCAACCCAGUAUGGCUGUUUCUGGACCCCACAGCCUGCAAGAAGAGGAUUUUGUGGAUUUACAGAUGUGAUGUUCUCCAGCUACACCUGGAGCACAUGGUGGGGGUCUCUGAAUACAGCUCAGCUCCCUUGGGCUGAAUCGAUCGCCAGUGAAACGAACCCAGGCCUCGGCACGCUGUGAGGUAUCCCUGCAACCCGCCACCGCAACAGAAGAGCACUGCAGGAACACUCCAGUCCGGGUGCAAGGGCUGCAUGCGGCCAGAGCCCAUCGCUGUGCGUUGUGCAGGGAGGACCCCCGUCCCCCUCAACCCUCCCGCGGGGCUGCUUUUGCAAGAGCAAGAAGCAGGUUCAUCAAAGGCAUCUCCGCUGGAGUGCCAAAAGAGCUUUAAAAUGAUCUGUUUUGCAUUGGGAAGGCAGAGAAAUGCAGAACAGAUGGUUCUUGUAAGCUGUCUCACAUGAAACACUAAAGGAUGGAGGCAAUUAAUCAAUUAAUUUCACUAGCCUCAUAGGAAGGGUGCUGGCCACAGCCCUGGUAAGCGGUUGAUGGGGCUGUGGAAGGCGGCUGCUCCUUUGCUUUGAUCCAAACCAGCGUGAGCACCCAUGCUGGCUGUCCGGAAACCCGGGGUCACGAUGGCAUCCUGCGGUGCCAGAGCCUGAGAUGAGAGAUGGCUUCUCUUUGAAGUCAGGAUCAAUAAUCUGUGAAAAUAAAAUAAAAAGGAGGACCUGCUCCUCUCUGCUCCUCCAGUGGGGAAGAUAUGGCAAAGCCCUUCCCGUGUUCAGGUUAGUGCUCUAAGAGGGGAGAUCUGUAGCAGCCUAUCUUCUCGAUAACGAACCCAUUCCAGUCCUGUGGUUAGUUAUAUUAAACAAUUAUGGGAUUUAGCUCAUUUACGCCGUGCUUUUUCACACCCUGGGUGUCCACAGGUUGUCAAGUACAAGACGAAGCAAUUAGGGCAGGUGGACUCCAUGUACCCAGCUCCUCCACUGCUGUGGGACGUGGCCGUGCCUCGGCGCUGUGCUGGCUCCUCCGCCCGAUGACGGUGAGCUCAGAGGUGUCGAGGAUUAUGUCAGCCGCACACUGAGCAUCCCGAGCAGGAGAUAACGCAGCGGUUGUGUCUGGAGCACUCUGGAAGCCCCAGUGCGCGGCCGGGAGCUGUUGCUUCUUGCUGUGCGAUGAAGCACUGCCACACCUGUGCAAAUUUCCCCGUAGCCUGGGGCUUGGGUGGAAAUGUGGUUGGAUCAUUAAAUCGAGCUGCUUGAGAGCUACUUGAAGAUGGAAGAUGUGAAAUCAGGCAUAUGAAAUGGCGAUCGUGUCUAGAUGAUCCCCUGAGCAUCUGCCCGCCUCCAACAGAGCUGCUGUUUGCAGCGACUCUGGUUCUCGGCUUGUGCCCCUGGAGGGACGGGCAGAGCUUGCUCCCGCAGAAAGCCCGGCUAAGCGUCCUCUCUGUCUCAGCAGAACGGUUGGGGCUCACCUGAAAAGGCCAGGAUGUCACCUCGCAUUGAGGAGCCAGCCAGUGAGUUCAGGUUGGUGGUGCCCGUUAGGGCAGGACCUGCAGGAGAUCCAGGAAGGGGCGUGCAGAUCUGGGACGCAGACCCCAGGUGCUGGACUUGAGCAGAGUCGGUCCUGCUUUGUGGAAACAUCCACGUAUCCACAUCGCUUUUGGAAAGGGCUCUGCUUAAAUUCUCUGUGUUUGUGCCUUCUCCUGGCCGCCUCCUUCCCCUCAACUGAGAUCCCAAGGAAUUGGGAAGGAAGCUGGGUGGGAGAAAAAGCCUUUUAGUUUGAAAGGAGCCACAGGGUUAGUUGACACGUGCCCCGGCCUCAUGCAUUUUGGAUCUUCCUUAGCGUGUUGCUGCAUGCAGCCCAGAAGGCUGCUCUGAGCAGCUCACUGCCUGUCUGCAUCCCUGGGGGAUUCUGUGUUGCUCCCUCACCUUCCCUUCCCAGGGCAUGAGAAGAACUCCCAAGAGCCAGGACCAAGCACUGGGGUCUGAUAAUGUGACAUCUACUCCAUUGGUAGUCAAAACUGCAGGGUAGAAAGCUAAUUUCAUGCCACAUGUUCAUCCUACAGCUCCUGAAUGGAGAAUGCCGUGUCUUACCUUGGGGCGAGGGGGUAGAUCAGAUCACGGGAGCCACAGUUUUCGCUUGGAGACUUGUGCCGAGCUGGAGCAGCUCCAAGUGCAGCUCCCAGGCUUGGUGCCUGCUCCGUGCCAGGACGCGUUGGUUGAGGGGCUGAUGGAGCACCCAGGUUUAGGCUGGCAGAAGCAGCCAGGCCACCGGUGCUAUGAAACCUGCAGGAUCCUGCUGCAAGACCAGCUCAGCUGCUUUUUUCGGAGGAGCUGCCUGCUCUGGUGCAGAGCAGGGCCAGAGACCAUUUACCGGUGAGGAAGCCCAGAAUGGGUUCAAAAGUGGAUGUUUUGGGAGGGAUUUCAGCUUGGAGCAUCUGUUUGGGGUAGCUGUGGGGCACAAGCCAUGGUACCUGGAUGGGUAAAGUAUCCCCAGCCCAUGAGCGUGUUUCAUGAGGCUGUUUCCUUCAGUGCUGCCCGCUCCCUCCGCGCAGCUUGUUGCUAACGAAUCUCGGCAUCCUACCUAAGAGACAGACCGACGCUGGCGCGGCAUCAGCCAGGCUUCGGCUGGUACCCAGGGUGCCCGGUGGAAGAAGGGCUGUCACGCUGCGGCUGAAACCCAAACGCAAUUACACCGUGUCUGCGAGGCCGUGAGGAGCUCGCCUGCAUCGGGGGCAGACUGCUUCGCCGCCCGCAGAAGGUGCCGGCAGCCACCAGCAACUGGUUGCUGCUUAUUGCUGAAGCAUCACUGAUUUUUUUACCAGCAGCUUCUCCUCUCUGUAACCGUGGCUCCGAGGCACUCUCCGGGCUGGGGGAGAGGGAAGCGGAGCCGUCAGGGUGAGACUGGAUGGAGGAGCAGCGGUUUUCAGUACAAAUCAAUGAGGCACAGGCAACUUGUUUUCCUCCUGUUUCGCUGCUGGUUGCCUUCCGUGCCUGUGCAGUGAGGUGUCAGGCCAGGAUGUUCCCCUUGUCUCUGUGGGUCUGCGUGGCAUCGAGUUGGUCUGUAAAUCUGUCCCCUGCGUGGGGACAGAUGCAAACGGUCACCCACUGCCUUCCCAGGGGGUGUUCGGCACGCGCCUCCCUGCCCUCCUGCCGCCUCCUUGCAGUCGUAGCUCAGAAGCACCUCUCGGGCUGUAGCAUCUGCUAUCUUUAGCUUUACAGCUCCGAAGCACACGUUGGCUUUAUCACAUGUUUAGAACUGACCGUGGGAUGUGCCCAAAUAUUAAGUAACUUCCCAAGCUGGGUCUGGCUCAGACUGCUGGGAUCUAGGACUGUUUCUUUGCAAUUGGGUCACGGAGAGCAUUUGGGUAGGUAGAGGAGACGCUGCCCUCCCCAACCUGCUGGUGGGAGAGGCGACAGCCAGGAGAGAGCUGGGUUGAAGGUUUGCUAGGAGAAGGUCUACUGGGGAUGUCUCGCCGGGCCUGAAGAUACCUUCAGCAUUUUGCAGAGGACCAAAACUGAUGCUGGGUGGUGGCCCAUCGCUGUCGGAGGGGAUAUCUGGGAACAAAAAGCACAACUCUAGAGCUUGAUUUUUUGGGUUCCUCUUUCUUAGGAAGAGGGCUCGGCAUGUGGGAUCUGCCUCUCCCCUGCAGGAAAGGGCCUGGGCAACACAACGGGAUGAAUAACACGAUGGCUGUACCCCCCCUCCCCAAAGCGGCCUCGGGCAGCUCCUGUUAGAUCACUUUAAAUCCAGCCCUGCUUGGCCUCUGUGUCCGAUUUAAACAGCAUGACCGAAUACUUGCCGAUGGGGAAGCCUUGUUUGAUUGUGGAGGUCCCGGCUCCAGACCAAGCCCACCUUGCUCCGUUCAAGCCAUCCGUGAAACCUCAUCAAGCAGCAGCUGCUAAUUCUUCAGUCACCUCGAAACCAUCUCCUGAUACAGAAACAGCUCGUCGCUGCCUGUAGCCAGCAGGAAUGCCAGAUCCUGCCAGCAUCUGUUUUGAAUGUCGAGGCAAAAUGGGUCAGGGAUGGUUUUAUCUGUGGCUGGAAAACCGCUACCACUGAGAGUGUUGCACCAGGGCUGCCGCUCGCCUGCUGCUGCCAUGACAGGAGGCCAAGAGAAGCACUCCCAGGCAGGCUGACCUCCCUAGUGCUGGGAGCUGCAGGAGCAGCCACCUCCAUCAGCACUCCACGUCCAGCUCAGGGCUGGAGACACCUGGUCCGGCGGCCGUAUCACCUGACCCGCGCACCCGUGUUGGUUUUCAGACUGUGUUUGUGAAG